rnacentral:rRNA from 1 species
CUUGACGAUCAUAGAGACGUUGAACCACCUGAUCCCAUCCCGAACUCAGAAGUGAAAAGCGUCAUC